rnacentral:rRNA from 1 species
UACGUAGGGGGCUAGCGUUGUCCGGAAUCAUUGGGCGUAAAGCGCGUGUAGGCGGUCCGGUAAGUCCGCAGUGAAAGUCGGGGGCUCAACCCUCGGAUGCCGGUGGAUACUGUCGGGCUUGAGUACGGAAGAGGCGAGUGGAAUUCCUGGUGUAGCGGUGAAAUGCGCAGAUAUCAGGAGGAACACCAAUUGCGAAGGCAGCUCGCUGGGACGUUACUGACGCUGAGACGCGAAAGCGUGGGGAGCAAACAGG